rnacentral:lncRNA from 1 species
GAAAAGGGCGCUUCCUGUCUUGGCUCUGCCCCGGUGCCAUAGUUCACUCCUGGACGGGUGUAACUCCAUGUCCCACCAAGAGUGCCUGCUGCACAGAUGCUCCUGUCUCAACGCCUGACCACUGAGUGAUAAUCUCAUAAAUCCUCUGCAAUAGUACACUCUGCUGCUUAAUCACCUCUGUCAGGGUAGCCAACUGCUCUCUCAAAUCAGGAGGUGCACUUGCCUCCGGUUGUGCACUCAGCUCUGCCUGGUCAGGCAUCUCUAGCGGUGCGACUUGAUCCCUGGUCGACGGUCAACCUCGGCAGCGAUCUGAAAGAAACAGAACGGGUUCAGAUACAACUCAACCACUCUUGACCCAAUCAACGAAAGUCUAGAAGGCAGCCCCUGUUUUCCUCUAAAAUUAUGUUGUCUGCAGCCAACAUAAUUUCUCAGGCCAAAAUAGGUACUCCUUCAAUCACUCACCCCACUCUCGGAGGAGUUAGAACAACUAAUCAUUGACUUUCGCAAUUAGAUUACGCCUCUCGCGUCUUGCUUUCCUAAGGUUUUCCAAACUUAGGUUCUCUAGGUCCCAACGACCUAAUGCUAAGCUCUGAUACCAACUUAAUCUGUCACGCCCCGGAUUACACGUUCCCCGGGCACG